GCCAAGAGAUUAGCCAUGGCGAGCAGCCGAGCACCACCACAACAGCUAGGAAAACGGAAGAGUUAGACGCCGGCCGUCGGCACCAACAACCGGAGCUCCUCCGUUGCAUCGCUGGAGGUGGCAUAGAACACAUGGAGGGGAGCCAUGGUAAGGACCACCACAACAACGGGGAACCGGGAGGUGAUGCCGGUGAUACAAAUGGCGCUCGUCGAUGAACGCCGGUGCUGCAAUGCACCAACUCGUCCAUGGCCGCCGUACUCGAGCGCCGGCGGCGGAGCUGCAAUGGAGCCGCUCGGCGCAGGCGGCGGAGCUGCAAUCUAGCCGCUCGGCGUAGGUGGCGGAGCUUCAAUGGAGCGCUCGAUGCCGGCGACGGAGCUGCAAUGGAGCAGCUCGGCGCAGGUGGCGGAGCUGCAAUGAAGCUGCAAGUCGCCGGCUACGGAGCUGCAAUGGAGCGCUCGUCGAUGCCUCCCCCCUGCUCCGACGCACCACUCCCGCGACUGGUCCCGGUGCUGCAGCGCUGCGCUUGUGAGUGGCUCAGUGCAGCGUCGUUGGCGGCUCUUGGGGGCAGCCCGUUGCAGUGAAGCGCUGCUGCCAUGCCUAGAGUCUAUGGUGUUGCCACGACCGGCGGCGGUAAUGUGUUUGCAAGGUGAGGAACGAGCUGGGCAGAGCCUGAUGCUGCGAGCGAGCGCGGCAUGGCGGCUGCGACUGCGAGCUAGAUCAGGGCCGCUCGCUGGAGCUCACCGCGUCUAUCUCAGGAAUCGCGUGUGCGUGGGGAUUUUUUUGAAUUGGCUGCGACGCGAGGAAGACGAGGCCACGCGCGGCGUUCUAUUGUGUGAGAGCGACGCAGUCUAGGUUGACUAAUCCAACGUAUCGAGGGAUUUGAUCGGACGGUUGGGGACCCGACUGAUUUCCCGAGGAAAUAAGUCGGAUGAUUCCUAGCAGCCGCAAAAAAAAUGUGCAUGAGAAAAGGUGCCGCCUGGUCUAAGCCUGAGCUGGGUUUCAUUUCGGUGAAAUGGAGCAGGGGCAGACCCCCUUUUCCUCUAAAAACUAAGCAUGAGUUGGUGAUAAUUUUUGCCUGACCGGGCAAGUUAUUUUUUUAUUCAUUUUAAAUACAUGUGGGCAUUUCAAAUAGACGUCGAAAUUUUCUGUAUACAGCUUGAACAUUUUUUCAGGUACACGUUGAAAAAUAAAUACACAUUGAACAUUUUUCUAAAUACAUGUUGAACAUUUAUCAAAUGCACAUUGAACAUUAUUAACUUUUAAAACAUUUAUAUUACAUUGUAUAUGUUUUAUUUGAAAUUACACAAACAUUUAUCUGACUUGUCUGAACUAAUGUUUAAAAGUGUCACCAACAUUUUCUUGAUUGGUACGAAACAUUUAUUUAAACUAUGCAAAACUAUUUUAACAUUGUAUAAUUUUUUUCUAAAAUGUGACAAUUAUUUUUAGAAAUUUGUGAACAUUUUUUUAAUGGAACGAAUCCCUUCUCGAAACAGCACAAACAAUUUUUCUGCACAACAUGAAUAUUCUUUAAUUGCGUAAUGAAGGCUUUUAACUAUUUAAUUCGGGUAUUUUCCAUUUCAGAAAUAUAAAUAGAAGUAACAGAUAUAAAAAGGAAAAACACAAAGGAAACUAAUCCAUCACUUCUAGGUCGGGCCACUAAACAUUGUGCUUCAGCCAAGGCGAUAGUCACACGGUCCGCUUAAAAACCACGGCAUGUUUGAGUAAAAGGAUUGGAUAAGUGACAACGACCCAAGUUAUUACGGUGUAUCAUGCAUACAACAACACCAAACUAUUAAACAAUUUUAAGGUGUGGCGGAAGCCUACCCUUGCCAGAUUAUUGCCUCCACCACUGCUCACGUCUGCUAUUUUUUUACUAUUAUUUUAUUCCUGUUUUUAGAUUUAAUGGGCUAUUCAACCAGUCUUCUUAUGUUUUUACUUUGAUUUACUUUCUAUUUUCAAAUUAGUUGUUUUCGAAUCAUCUUUUAAAUCAAAAAUAUAUUAAGAUUCGCUAACAUCAUAUAGAAAUAGUAAAAAACAUGAAUAUUGUUUUAAUUCGUGAACAGUUUUUAUUCAUGAAAAAAUUUUAUUUCAUGAUUUUUUUAAUCAAAUUCGAAACACCUUUUGAAUUUGCAAAUAUUUUAUUCAAAUUUAGAAACAUUUUCCAAAAUUCUCCAACAUUUUUACUAAAUCGCAAAUAUAUUUUGAAACUCACAAACAUUUUUCAAAGUCAUGAGCAUUCUUUUUAAUUUAUAAGUGUUUUUUUAAUUAAUUAGGAAAACAAUUAACAUGACUAGGCGGAUCGCAGCGGCCGCGUCCGCCACCAUCGCUACAUGAGACGUGUCCAAUUGAGGGCCCGCAUACCAUCCAUCAUUGAAUGCGCUUCUACAAUAAAGGCUAUAUUUUGGAAACA